rnacentral:rRNA from 1 species
UGUAAGCGUAUACCAAAGUUGUUGCAGUUAAAACGCUCGUAGUCGGACUUUGGCAGUUCCGGAUGUGUGCACGUCGUGUGCGCACUUCGCGGGGAUUGCUUUUGUGGUCUUGCGUAGGAUGAGGCACUUUUAUUAGUGAACGUCCUCACGCAACCACUUUUUACUGUGAGAAAAUCAGAGUGCUCAAAGCAGGCAUUUGCCGUGAAUGUAUUAGCAUGGAAUAAUAGAAUAGGACUUGGUUCUAUUUUGUUGGUUUGUUGUGACUGAGUAAUGAUUAAGAGGGACAGUUGGGGGCAUUUGUAUUUCGGUGCUAGAGGUGAAAUUCUUAGAUUACCGAAAGACAAACUGCUGCGAAAGCGUCUGCCAAGGAUGUUUUCAUUGA